GCUCCCAAAGAAUCCUGCUAGGAUUGCGGGGCUGGUGCCACCAGACUGCAUCCCUCUCCAGACAGCACAGCAGAGGAGGUGUCAUAUGCAUGAUGAUGAGCAUUUGGAAGGCUGAGGACAACUUGCAGGGCUCACAUCUACCGUGCGGCUUCUGGGGAUUGAACGCCUGCCUUUAGGCUUGGGAGCAGGAGUCUUUCUUUACUGACUGAGCCGUAUCACCGCCAACCCCAAGCAAUUCUUUUGAGCAGUGCAAAGUUCAAACCUCUUGUGAUCCGAUUGUUAGCUGUUCGGUGAACAGUAUGUAAGGAGUUGGGGAGGAGGGAAUUCAGCUCCUUAGUGAUAUGCUGCUUUUUCUUUUCUUAGAACAGGUUGACCUCAAAUUCCUAACCCUUCAGAUCCUUCUGCCUCAUUGUUUGGGGACUGCUGGGAUUACAGAUGUGACAGUCUCUCCUUUGAAGCUGGUUUCACUUGCCAGUUUUCCUGGUUUUCUGAGGUCUCAGACUCUCCUCCACCUGAAAGGAAGAUGUUCCUGGUAUCGCUCCCAGUUCAACGGACCUAGAUAGGUCCUGGUCCUAGGAACUUCACGUUCAUUUUUCUGGAGACUGAGUCAGCCUCGGAGUCCAGAAUAAAAGAAGGCCUGCUUUAAAAUCUGUCCCAGAACAUGACGUGACAGAGCACACCUGUAAUCUCAGUGUAGGAAUCCAGCUCAGCUGGGGAGGGGCCUCGGCCGAGAGGAGUUUAGCGGGGAGAAGGUUUUCUCACACGAAAACCUCCUAAACCACCCGAGCUGUGGGGCUGGGUGGAGGAGACUCAGCAGGUGUGGGGCGGGGAGGUAAGUUGACCCUUGGUCUGCGGCCGCGCCCACGAGGAACGCAUUCCCAGGCCUCCCGCCCAAGGUCUGCAGGUGACAGGCUCAUGGGAGGGGGGGCCAAGCGGAGAAUGCUCCGGCCCAGUUUGCCGUCUCCAUGGCGACCGCCCGCGCGGCGCCAGCUUGACAGCCCGUCCGGGUUUUAUGAAUGGGUGACGUCACGGGCCUGGCGUCUAACGGUCUGAGCCGCUUGUUCAGACGCUGACACAGACCAGCCCGGGAAAGGAAAGGGAGGGGGUGAU